rnacentral:ncRNA from 1 species
UCGUUCUCGGAAGGCGUCGACGCGCGGCCUAUGAAGCGUGCCGCCGGGACCGCGCCGAGCUACUGGCGAGACCGGUCCGAGGGGCA